rnacentral:lncRNA from 1 species
CCCUUUCUCUGACUUCGGACUAAAAAAUUCAUGAAUACUCUGUACAAAUAAUUAAGUAACAAAAUCCAAAAUCGGAGCCAAACACGUACAGAAAUGGACAUGGAAAUAAAGCAGAGUCUGAUUAACAACAAUCAAACGAAUCAGACGCACAGUUGACCUCCGGAAUGCUCUGUAGAACAGGCUUCCAGCACCGCCGAUCGUCAACUUGUCCAAAUAGCCCGCGAAACUGAUCAUCGCCGCCGCCGGAGAGGAUUAACCGAGCUAGUAUCUGCUGGGAGGACAAACCCUGCGUCUCGAUUCGAGAAAUUAACUCUUCCAGCUCCCUCUUGGACACCUUGAUCUUCACCUGCUGGUCUCUUGCCCAUGAUGACGUGGAAGAAACCGGAAGUAGCCUGUUCUUGU